CAAGGAAUUUUGUGCAAUGGGCGAAAGCCUGACACAGCAACGCCGCGUGGGGGAUGAAGGCCCUCGGGUCGUAAACCCCUUUUCUUAGGGAAGAAUAAUGACGGUACCUGAGGAAUAAGCCUCGGCUAAAUACGUCCAGCAGCCGCGGUAAUACGUAUGAGGCGAGCGUUAUUUGGAUUUACUGGGCGUAAAGAGGGCGUAGGCGGCCUUUCAAGUCGGAUGUGAAAUAUCCCGGCUUAACCGGGAGGGGUCAUCCGAUACUGUUGGGCUAGAGUGCAGCAAGGGAAGGUAGAAUUCCCGGUGUAGUGGUGAUAUGCGUAGAUAUCGGGAGGAAUACCCAGUGGCGAAGGCGGCCUUCCGGGCUGUUUCCGACGCUGAGGCCCGAAAGUGUGGGGAGCGAACAGGAUUAGAUACCCUGGUAGUCCACACUUUAAACGAUGGAUACUAGGUAUAGGGAGUAUCGACCCUCUCUGUGCCGAAGCUAACGCUUUAAGUAUCCCGCCUGGGGACUACGGCCGCAAGGCUA
rnacentral:rRNA from 1 species